UGUUCGUGGCCAAACCAGGGAACUGGGGAUGGGUUGACCCACACCAGCUCCAGGGUCUUGCUCACUUCCCAUAGAAGAUACCAACCAUGGGGUAGCCGCAUCUUAUCAGCUCUUCCGAGGGGACCACGGUGCAGUCAACAGCAAGAUGGCGUAGUCCUGGUUGUCCCUGUGUCAGAUCCACAGGAGUUUGCAAGCACGAGACUCUAGUUGGCUCGUCCUGGGUCAUUCAUUCAGCAUUUACUAACCCACCCACAGAACACGCUGAACCCAGGCGGCAGGACGAGGAGAAUUUGCUGGAACCACCACUGAAAAAAACCCUCACGUAAGGGACUGAUGGUCUGGGAACCCUCUAGUUAUAAAAUAUGAAGGGAAAAAAAAACCUUAGCAAUUUCAGCUUCAAGAAAGGUCACUCUUAGGAGAUCAGGCUACAUUCCUGCCGAGUUGAAAUGAGUCAUCGUAAGUGCCCUUCAAGUGCCAGCUAGGAGGGUAAUGAACUUGCAACUUACCAAUAUUGCUGAAACACACACACACACACACACGCACGCAGACGCACCCAAGCACACACGCACGCAAGCACACACGCACACGCAAGCACUCGCACAGACUCGCGCGCACACACACACACACACGCACACAGACG